rnacentral:ncRNA from 1 species
AGGCGUUGAAAUAUGGAACGUGCCGGAAAGCGUUUCAUAUGGAGUCAGUAAGGGUCUAAGCACUUACCGCGAUUCGGCUUACCUGCAUAUUAUUAUGCAAGGGACAUAAAGUGCUUCAC